rnacentral:misc_RNA from 1 species
CGACCUCCAACUAGUUUCAGUUAUAGCUUGCAGGAAGACUCUCAUUUGAGAUCUUCACAUUUGCAUGGAAGUGCUCCAAGACAUGCACAAGGAUGAAACAUUGUUCAUAUUUGGUUGAGUACCAAUUUUUCCUUCCUUAGUUACCUGCUUCUUACCUGGAGUAAUAUGUUUUACCUAAAAAACUAACUGCAGCAAAUGGUUAGCAGCUAUUCUUUUAAUGAGCAGAAAAUAAUUGAUAUUUUUGCAAAGCCAAAAAUUACUCCCCAUUCUAGUAGAAUUCAUCCAGUAAUUCCUUUCUGGGAAUUCAGGAUUGGUUUCAUUAACCUCUCACCCAAUUCAACAAUCUUUAAUUUGUGAUACACUAUGGUAGCUAUGGUAGCGAUAUUGUAUGGGCUG